UUACGGCUAUAUCAUGUUGAAACACCGAUUCCCGUAUAAUCACUGAAGUUAAGCAACGUCGAUCCUGGCCAGUACUUAGAAGGGUGACCGUUUGGGAACAGCAGGUGCUGUAA